rnacentral:rRNA from 1 species
ACGUAGGUCUCAAGCGUUAUCCGGAUUUACUGGGCGUAAAGUAUCCGUAGCCUGAUAUAUAAGUCUGCUUUCAAAUCCCACGACUCAAUCGUGGACAGGGAGUGGAUACUGUAUAUCUAGAACUAAUUAGAGGUUAGUGGAAUUUCCGGUGGAGCGGUGAAAUGCGUUGAUAUCGGAAAGAACGCCGAAAGCGAAAGCAGCUAACUAUAAUAUGUUGACGGUGAGGGAUGAAAGUUUGGGUAGCAAACGG